rnacentral:lncRNA from 1 species
AUACUCCAGUCGGUACCGCACAUGUUUCCAAGGGCUGCUAUCUCUUCAAGACGGAGUCUUGCUCUGCAUCCCAGGCUGGAAUGCAAUGCUGCGAUCUUGGCUCACUGCAACCUCCAUCUCCCAGGUUCAAGCGAUUCUUCUGCUUCAGCCUUCCAAGUAGCUGGAAUUACAGGUGCCUGCCACUGUGCCCAGCUAAUUUUUUUUUUUUGCAUUUUUUUAGUAGAGACGGGGUUUCCCCAUGUUUGUCAGGCUGGUCUCAAACUCCUGUCCUCAGGUGAUCCACCCACCUCAGCCUCCCAAAGUGCUGGGAUUACAGGUGUGAGCCACUGCACCUGGCCUAGAGAUACUUUCAAGUUAGAGGCUACCUCUGCUGAAAUAUGUCUUGUCAGAUAAUCUGAGUUUCAGAUCCCUGUAACACAGAGCAUCAGGCAUUGAAGUGGUUCAUUCUAUUGAUUCUGAAGUCAGAAUGUUUAUAUUCAGAUACUGCUCUGCCACAUUGGUUCUCUAAAUAUUACUUCAUCUCAGUGUGCUGAUUUUUUCAACUAUUAAAUGGAAGUAAUAAUGGAACCCAUUUUAUAGAAUUAUUUGAAAAACUAACAAAUAAAACAUGCCAAUACUUUGAUCAGUGCCUGGCAAAGAGUAAAUAUUCAAUAAAUGCUAUCUAUUUUUUAAAAACAAAAAAACUAUUCUGUUUUGUUUACAAGUGCUUGUAUCUUUGAACCCAAAUUAGAAGAUUGUAUGUCUCAAGUUUCUAUAAUCCUAAAAUCAACACAUCAAAACCCCAUUCCAUUGAGUUCUAAUAUUAGCCCCAAGAUACUCUCUUUACCUUCACAUUUUUUAAGACUUUCAAUCCUACUUUAACAUCAAGUCACAAUCUUUCCAUGAAAACUGCCUUUCAGCACAUCUAAUAGAAAAAUAAAAAUUAUUUUCCUGUAUUUCACAUGGAGUAAUGAUAAGAGUAAGGGCUUUCAAAUCAGAUUGGUUUAUGAUUAAAACUCAACCCUGGAAGUGAUGUGGUUUGGUUCUGUGUUCCCACCCAAAUCUCACCCCAAAUUGUAAUCACCGUGUGUCGAGUAAGGUAGGUGACUGGAUCAUGAGGGUGGUUUCCCCAUGCUGUUUCAUUAGUGAGUGAGUUCUCAUGAGAACUGAUGGUUUUAUAAGUGUUUGACAAUUCCUCCUUCACAUGCUCACUCUCUCACUCUCUCCUGCCACCUUGUGAAGAAGGUGUCUGUUUCCCCUGUUGCCAUGAUUGUAGGUUUUCUGAGGUCCUGAGGCCUCCCCAGCCAUGUAGAACUGUGUCAACUGAACCUGUUUUGUUUAGAAAUUAGCCAGUCUUGGAUAAUAUCUUUAUAGCAGUGUGAAAACUGAAAAUAUAGGAAGUUACUAGCUCUGUGACCCUGUGAGUUACUUAACUACUUUGCACCUCAGUUUCCACAUUCAUAAAACGCAUUCUGUUUGAAUUAAAUGAGAAAAAUACCUGGGAGAUUAACUGAUACAGAUAACAUGCUCAGCAAAUAACUUUUAUCGUAGCCUGAUUGUUUCUCCAUAAAACUGAAGGCUUUGUUCAGUCUUCAUUAAAAUAUUCACAAGAAAAUAAACAG